rnacentral:rRNA from 1 species
CAGUCGCCGCGGGAAUACAGAGGAUGCAAGCGUUACCCGGAAUGAUUGGGCGUAAAGCGUCUGUAGGUGGCUUUUCAAGUCCGCCAUCAAAUCCCAAGGCUCAACCCUGGACAGGCGGUGGAAAAUACCAAGCUGGAGUACGGUAGGGGCAGAGGGAAUUUCCGGUGGAGCGGUGAAAUGCGUUGAGAUUGGAAAGAACACCAACGGUGAAAGCACUCUGCUGGGCCGACACUGACACUGAGAGACGAAAGCUAGGGGAGCAAAUGGGAUUAGAUACCCCGGUAGUCCCUGUCUCUUAUAC